rnacentral:rRNA from 1 species
AACGAACGCUGGCGGCAUGCCUAACACAUGCAAGUCGAACGAGACCUUCGGGUCUAGUGGCGCACGGGUGCGUAACGCGUGGGAACCUGCCCUUAGGUUCGGAAUAACUCCCCGAAAGGGGUGCUAAUACCGGAUAAUGUCUUCGGACCAAAGAUUUAUCGCCUUUGGAUGGGCCCGCGUUGGAUUAGCUAGUUGGUAGGGUAAAAGCCUACCAAGGCGACGAUCCAUAGAUGGUCUGAGAGGAUGAUCAGCCACACUGGGACUGAGACACGGCCCAGACUCCCACGGGGGGCAGCAGGGGGGAAUAUUGGACAAUGGGCGAAAGCCUGAUCCAGCAAGGCCGGGUGAGUGAUGAAGGCCUUAGGGUUGUAAAGCUCUUUUACCCGGGAUGAUAAUGCCAGGACCGGGAGAAUAAGCUCCGGCUAACUCCGU